rnacentral:rRNA from 1 species
AUGAAGAAGGAGGGGGGUAAGAAGCUUGUGGGCAGGGCAGCAGCAAGGGCUCUCGUGUGGCUUCUGCUUCCCCUCAUUGUCUUGGUCGUGCUCAACUCCGAUCACAUGCCGUGGGUUCCUCAGUUACAAGCAACAUCUCUUUAUUUCGUCGGCCAUGCACCACCUUCUCCCGCAUCAAGCGAGCAGACGCCCAGUGCGGCCGUUGAGGCACCACCUUCUCCGGCAUCACGCGACGAGACGCCCGGCGACGUCGUCAGUGCGAACAAAAGUCAAGGCGACAUCGCCCGUCGACAAGGUACAGAUGUGGCAGCACCAAGAAGCAAGUCAAUCUGCAACUUCAGCAGUGAACGCAUGGACAUAUGUGCCAUGCAAGGCGACGUCCGUAUGCAUGGCAAAUCUGCCACUGUGUACGUGGUCUCAGCGUCUGAUGACAGUUACCGGCCAGAGAAUGGAACGGUGAAGAUCCACCCGUACCCGCGCAAGUCGGAGGAAGGAACGAUGCACGCUAUCCGGGAGGUGACCAUCCGCUGGAGCGGGCUGGAUGCGCCACAGUGCAUGGUGACACACGACGUCCCCGCGGUGGUCUUCUCCACCGGUGGCUUCCUCAACAACUUUUUCCACGCCAUGACCGAUGGUCUCAUCCCUCUCUUCAACACUGUGCGGGAGUAUGAUGGCCGCGUCCAGCUUGUGAUCACUGACUACAACCGCAAGUGGGUCGACAAGUUCCAACGCAUUCUCGCCGCGCUCUCCAUGUACCCGGUCAUCGACUUUGACGCCGACGACAAGGUGCGUUGCUUCCCAUCGGUGCACGUCGGCACCGAGAGCCAUAAGGAGAUGGGGAUCAUCCCUGCUCUCUCCCGCAAGGGCUACACGAUGACGGACUUCCGAAGCUUUCUCAGGUCGGUCUACUCGCUGAAGCGUGAGUGGGCGACCCCCGUAAACCGGACCACCGGCGACAGGCCUCGUCUCCUCAUGGUGUUGCGCCGCAAGUCAAGGGCAUUCGCGAAUGAGGCGGAGGCCGUCGCAGCUGCCACAGAUAUUGGUUUUGAGGUGGUGUUGGGGGCCCCGGAGGCCAUGAGCGACAUGGUCCGGUUCGCUGAGGUUGUGAACUCGUGCGACGUGAUGGUAGGUGUGCAUGGUGCGGGGCUCACCAACAUGGUGUUCCUCCCACGCAACGCGACGUUGGUGCAGGUCGUCCCGUGGGGCGACAUGAGCUGGGGGUCCAAUGCUGCCUUUGGUGCACCGUCGGCUGAUAUGGGGCUCCGGUACGUCCAGUACGAGCCAACCGCCGAGGAGACGACACUCAAGUACAUAUACCCGAGGGACCACGCGGUCUUCACCGACAUUGCCUCCAUACACAGGCAGGGGUAUGGUAUGACGUGGGCGAUCUUCCUCAACGGCCAGAAUAUCACCCUCGACAUCGACCGCUACAGAGGGGUGUUGCAGCAAAUCUACCACGAUAGUGUAAUGGCCAAUCCUUCAUUUAAUUCUGUUGCCGCUGUCGAAGCACCGCCUUCUCCGGCAUCAACCGGCGAGACACCCGGCGCCGUCCUUGAUGCCAACAGAGAUCUCCAAAACGAAAAGGGGCUCCUAGCAAUGAACACGGGAUUAGAUGGUUCUUCAAUAAAAUCAGAUGUGGUAGCACCAAGAAGCAAGUCAAUCUGCGACUUCAGCAGUGAACGCAUGGACAUAUGUGCCAUGCAAGGCGACGUCCGUAUGCAUGGCAAAUCGGCCACCGUGUACGUGGUCUCAUCGUCUGAUGACAGUUACUGGCCAGAGAAUGGAACAGUGAAGAUCCACCCUUACCCGCGCAAGUCGGAGGAAGGAACGAUGCACGCCAUCAGGGAGGUGACCAUCUGCUGGAGCGGGCUGGAUGCGCCACAGUGCACGGUGACACACGACGUCCCCGCGGUGGUCUUCUCCACCGGCGGCUUCCUCAACAAUUUUUUUCACGCCAUGACAGACGGUCUCAUCCCUCUCUUCAACACUGUGCGGGAGUACGAUGGCCGCGUCCAGCUUGUGGUCACCGACUACAACCACAAGUGGGUUGACAAGUUUCAAGACAUCCUCGCCGCGCUCUCCAUGUACCCGGUCAUCGACUUUGACGCCGACGACAAGGUGCGUUGCUUCCCAUCGGUGCACGUCGGCACCGAGAGCCAUAAGGAGAUGGGGAUCAUCCCUGCUCUCUCCCGCAAGGGCUACACGAUGACGGACUUCCGAAGCUUUCUCCGGUCGGUCUACUCGCUGAAGCGUGAGUGGGCUACCCCCGUAAACCGGACCUCCGGCAACAGGCCUCGUCUCCUCAUGGUGUUGCGCCGCAAAUCAAGGGCAUUCGCUAAUGAGGUAGAGGCCGUUGCAACUGCCACUGAUAUCGGUUUUGAGGUGGUGUUGGGGGCUCCAGAGGCCAUGAGCGACAUGGCCCGGUUCGCAGAGGUUGUGAACUCGUGCGACGUGAUGGUGGGUGUGCAUGGUGCGGGGCUCACCAACCUGGUGUUCCUCCCGCGCAACGCGACGUUGGUGCAGGUCGUCCCGUGGGGCGACAUGAGCUGGGGGGCCAAUGCUGCCUUUGGUGCGCCAUCGGCUGAUAUGGGGCUCCGGUACGUCCAGUACGAGCCGACCGCCGAUGAGACGACACUCAAGUACAUAUACCCGAGGGACCACGCGGUCUUCACCGACAUUGCCUCCAUACACAGGCAGGGGUAUGGUAUGACGUGGGCGAUCUUCCUCAACGGCCAGAAUAUCACCCUCGACAUCGACCGCUACAGAGGGGUGUUGCAGCAAAUCUACCACGAUAGUGUAAUGGCCAAUCCUUCAUUUAACUAG